rnacentral:rRNA from 1 species
CCUACGGGAGGCAGCAGUGGGGAAUAUUGCACAAUGGGGGAAACCCUGAUGCAGCCACGCCGCGUGAGUGAGGAAGUAUUUCGGUAUGUAAAGCUCUAUCAGCAGGGAAUAGAAAAGAAGGUACCUGAAAAAGAAGCCCCGGCUAACUACGUGCCAGCAGCCGCGGUAAUACGUAGGGGGCAAGCGUUAUCCGGAUUUACUGGGUGUAAAGGGAGCGUAGGCGGGAAGGCAAGUCAGAAGGGAAAACCCAAGGCGUAAACAUGGGACGGCUUUUGAAACUGUCAAACUAGAGUGCGGGAGAGGUAAGAGGAAUUCGUGGUGUAGCGGUGAAAUGCGUAGAUAUUAGGAAGAACACCAGUGGCGAAGGCGGCUUACUGGACCGAAACUGACGUUGAGGCUCGAAAGCGUGGGGAGCAAACAGGAUUAGAUACCCUAGUAGUC